AGAAUCCUGGGAACUGUAGUUUGUUAAGGGAGCUGAGAGGGGUUAGGAGACCCUUAACAAUCUACGGUUCCCAGGAUUCU